AACGAACGCUGGCGGCAGGCUUAACACAUGCAAGUCGAACGGGUGUAAGCAAUACAUCAGUGGCAGACGGGUGAGUAACACGUGGGAACCUUCCUAGGGGUACGGAACAACUCAGGGAAACUUGAGCUAAAUACCGGUAUACGUCCGUAAGGAGAAAGAUUCAUCGCCCCUAGACGGGCCCGCGUCGGAUUAGGUAGUUGGUGGGUAACGGCCUACCAAGCCUACGAUCCGUAGCUGAUCUGAGAGGANGAUCAGCCACACUGGGACUGAGACACGGCCCAGACUCCUACGGGAGGCAGCAGUGGGGAAUCUUGGACAAUGGGCGCGAAGCCUGAUCCAGCCAUGCCGCGUGAGUGAAGAAGGCC
rnacentral:rRNA from 1 species